UUUGAAAUAAAAUAGUACUUAAGGUAUGAAAGUGAAAUGUUUUAAAGAUGUUGUAAGGAAUUGAAAUAGAGCCCAAACCUGAGGUAAGAAAGUGUAAUUUACCUUAUUUUUAAAGAGCAAAAGGUAGAAUUCGCACAAUCUUCGAGAAAUAUCGGCUGCUGGAAGAUUUCCUAACAAAGUUUUUUGCAAUUUUUGGUAGGCGACGAAAAUCAGAAUACAACCAAUUGAAACUUGAGUUUUGAAAGUUUAUUUAUGUUAUUAAGAGGGUAAUAGCGGAUAGAAACUUUUACCAACCUCGUCUAAAUAUGCAUUUUCUCCAAAUACCUACUCAAUUACCUAUUUCCCAAACUAAUAAAAAAAGCUAAAAUACCUACAAACCAUUUAUUUUCCAAAAUAGUAAGGGUUAAGACAAAAUAAAAACAUUGGGUUUGGGGUUGUUGAUGCACAAAAUCGGAAGGGUCUUGGAACAACGUAAAUCUGACCGUGCAUCAUGCAAGAAAGUAAAGAACACAAGAUGUAUCGUGGUUCACCCCAAUGUUUGGGCUACGUCCACACUGAUGUUGAUAUUGUUUCACUAUGAAUGGUGAAUAUACAAGAAGGCUAGAGGCAGUGUGCUCUCUAGCCUAUUUUAUGUGUGAUUUCUUCCCAUGGCCUAAACCUUGACCUCCUAUAAUGAGGAGAGUGAGGAGUCAUUUUAUAGAAUAAGGGCUCCUCACUUAUUACAUAUUUGCCUUUUCAUUUAUUACAUAAUUACACUUAAGUCCCCCGAGUAUUUAUACGAGGUCUAAAUACGGAGGCCUUAAGUAUGGUACAAACAGUAGUCCCUCAAGUCUUGAGUCAAGAGAGUCUUUUGGCUGGAAACUUGAAAUUCAGUCCAUGUGUGGGCCGAAGUAACUAAAUGUCGUCUAGAACUGAUACCCGAUAUAAGGCGGUGCUUAAUGUGAAAUGAUGCUCAACUAGAAGUAGCACAUGUUGCGAGGCUGCUUGGCUUGUGGCUUAUGUUGCCUUGGUUGGCUCGGCUUGUGGUAUUAAAGGUGAGGGAGUCCCUUUUAUAGAAUAAGGGCUCACUCAUCAAUACAUAAAUGAUGGGCUACAGUUGAUGCUUGCGGCGAGGCGGUUGCUUAGCGGGCGGCGAUGCUCUCUAAUAAUGAUGAAAGAGUCCCUUUUAUAGAAUAAGGGCUCACUCCUCAAUACAUAAGUGAUGGGUUAGGAGUGAUGCUCGCGGCGAGGCGGUUGCUCAACAGGCGGCGAUGCUCUCUAAUGAUGGUGAGGGAGUCAUUUUUAUAGAAUAAGGGCUCGCUCCUUAAUACAUAAGUGAUGGGUUAGGAGUGAUGCUUGCGGCAAGGCGGUUGCUCAGCUGGCGGCGAUGCUCUUUAAUGAAGGUGAGGGAGUCCCUUUUAUAGAAUAAGGGUUCCCUCGUCAAUACAUAAAUGAUGGGCUAAAAGUCUAUCUAUAAUGAAGGUGAGGGAGUCCCUUUUAUAAAAUAAGGGUACGCUCAUCAAUACAUGAAUAAUGGGUGCUCUUUAAUGAAAGUGAGGGAGUCUCUUUUAUAGAAUAAGGGCUCGCUCCUCAGUACAUAAAUAAUGGGCUAAGUCCCCCAAGUAUUUUUCAUGAGGCCCAGUUGCGGAAGCCCAAUAUAUGUUACAUAGUGUAGUCCCCCAAGUCUUCAGUCAAUAGGGUCUGUUGGCUGGAGACUUCAAAUUCAAUCCAUGUAUGGGCCGAAGUGGCAGUUGUUCGGAGGUUGUCUUCGUAUACCAUGCACUGAAGCUUUGUAGGUGAAGCUUUGAAAUCGGAGCUUUGUAAAUGAAACUUUCGAAGCUUGAGCUUUUGUAAAUGAAGCUUUUGAAGCUAGAGCUCUGUAAAUGAAGCUUUCGAAGCUGGAGCUCUGUAAAUGAAGCUUUCGAAGCUAGAACUCUGUAAAUGAAGCUUUUGAAGCUAGAGCUCUGUAAAUGAAGCUUUCGAAGCUGGAGCUUUUGUAAAUGAAGCUUUCGAAGCUAGAGCUCUGUAAAUGAAGCUUUCGAAGCUGAAGCUCUAUAAAUGAAGCUUUCGAAGCUAGAACUCUGUAAAUGAAGCUUUCGAAGCUAGAGCUCUGUAAAUGAAGCUUUCGAAGCUGAUUGACAUGAGUGAUGCUCAUGAAUGUUUAUGUUGACUGACAUGAGUGAUGCUCAUGGAUGUUGACAUGAGUGAUGCUCAUGAAUGUUGUGAAGAGGGAUGCUCAUGAAUGUUUAUGUAUGAUUGACAUGAGUGAUGCUCAUGUAUGAUUUUUUGAAGUACUGGACAUACUUUUGAUCACCUGGUUGGUGAUAAUAGCGGCAGGCUGCCGAAUAAUUUUGGAGUACUGGACGUACUUUUGAUCACCUGGUUGGUGAUAAUAGCGGCAAGUACUUUUGAUCACCUGGUUGGUGAUAAUAGCGGCAGACUGCCAAAUAAUUUUGGAGUACAUGACGUACUUUUGAUCACCUAGUUGGUGAUAAUAGCGGCAUGCUUGAUACGAACACAUUUAUGCAACUUAGUUAGCUUGUUUCUUGGCAUUUACUUAGUUUAAUUCUAGUUAUU
rnacentral:lncRNA from 1 species